rnacentral:rRNA from 1 species
UUCGCAAUGCCCGAAAGGGUGACGAAGCGACGCCGCGUGCGGGAAGAAGGCCUUCGGGUUGUAAACCGCUGUCGGGAGUUAAGAAAUGCAAGGAUAUUAAUAGUAUCUUUGCUUGACUAAGGCUCCGGAGGAAGCCACGGCUAACUCUGUGCCAGCAGCCGCGGUAAUACAGAGGCGGCAAGCGUUGUUCGGAAUUAUUGGGCGUAAAGAGCACGUAGGCGGCUGUGUAAGUCGGUUGUGAAAGCCUUCCGCUCAACGGAAGAACGGCAUCCGAUACUGCAUGGCUUGAGUGCGGGAGGGGAGAGUGGAACUUCUGGUGGAGCGGUGAAAUGCGUAGAUAUCAGAAGGAACACCGGCGGCGAAGGCGACUCUCUGGCCCGUAACUGACGCUGAGUGUGCGAAAGCUAGGGGAGCAAACGGGAUUAGAUACCCCGGUAGUCCUAGCCGUAAACGAUGGGCACUAAGUAGAGGGGUUUU